UCCCUUAUAGCUCAGUUGGUAAAGAAUCUGCCUGCAAUGCAGGAGACCCUGGUUCGAUUCCUGGGUCAGGAA
rnacentral:tRNA from 1 species